UACGUAGGGUGCAAGCGUUGUCCGGAAUUAUUGGGCGUAAAGAGCUCGUAGGCGGUUUGUCGCGUCGGCUGUGAAACCUCGGGGCUCAACCCCGAGCCUGCAGUCGAUACGGGCAGACUAGAGUGCUGUAGGGGAGACUGGAAUUCCUGGUGUAGCGGUGAAAUGCGCAGAUAUCAGGAGGAACACCGGUGGCGAAGGCAGGUCUCUGGGCCAUUACUGACACUGAGAAGCGAAAGCAUGGGGAGCGAACAGG
rnacentral:rRNA from 1 species